GUGAUUUACUUUGAUCCUGCAAUUACUGGAAAGGAAAAUGUUAGUCAGGGCCCAAAACUGCAUAAUUUAGGGCAUAGGCCUGUUAAGUUUCCAGGCCCAAAAGUAGAAAAAUUCUCAUAUAAAUAUGGCGAAAUUAUCCUUUACCCUCAUAUGCCGAUUCAUCGACACUUUACAUGAAAUUCAGGAUAUCUCCAGCGUAAGUUCAUGAAGACGCAUUGAUAGAUUUCAGGAAUUUCUCUGCGUUAAUUGCCUUUCAGAUGUAUCAGAAGUGAAUUUUGAUCGGUCCUUGCGAUUUUGAAUUCCUUCGCAUUUUGAUCGUGAACUUCUAUUAUGAGAAGUUUGAAACAUAGGGCUUAAGCUCUAGAAUUGAGGUAUAAUUGCUUUUGCUUUACAUUAUUAUGUAGAUGUGUAUCCUUGUAGUCUGAUGCCUAAACCCUGUUCUGCCUCUAUUUGAUUCUGUUUUGGAAUAUUCUAUUGACAUUGUGACCUAGAGAGCUUGCUGCAGUUCCUACAAUUGAUCUCUUGGUUCUCCAUUGGUAUGGGAACUUUUCUGCGUACAAAUUUUUUUUUUUUCUUUUAGUUUUCCAUUUAUUGUGGAUGUGGUAGGCCUAAUGAAUGGAUAUCUUUUUUAGAGAAAUCUUGAGUUAGACCCAAUUUCAUUGGUGAUGUGACAUUGGUUGCAGGUAUACUGCUUAGGAUUUUAACCAUUUUAGUCAAUUUAUACUUGUUUAUUACUAUUCUGCACCUUAUAUUUUUUGUUUUUCCUGUCUAAAGCUGUUUUGCACAUAAGCUCCCUUUGGUUGCAAGUAAAGAGAAGUGAAGGAAGUGAAAUUAAAUUCGAAAAGCAAGUGGAAAUUUUUGCAAUCAUGAUUUUCUAAAUAACUUAAAAUCUUAUAACAGGUAUUUAAUUAAAAAAAAAAAAUUAAGUAGAUUCUUUUCUUCCAAUUCGAAUUCAAGGAAUUUGGUUAAAAAUUGAAGCACAAAGUAGUUUCAAGAUUUAGAAUGUUUUGGGAUUAGUUAAAUUGUCUCUGUUGAUGGUGAUUAGAAAAGUAUUCAUUUUAUUUAUAUUUUAAUUCAUUUCCCUGCCCUUCAGUUCACUUCCAGCCAGGCAGAAACUUAGUAAGUUUUGAUCAUUUAUGAGGAACAAGGAGAAUGGUUGUGGGAUAAUUUGAAAUGAAUAAAUAUCUAAAACUUGUUAAGAAGAAAGAAUAUAACAAAUGAUGCAUGUCAUGCAGUUUGGGAAGAAUUAGGGACCAGAAUAGGCUUCAAGAGAGAAAAUGAAAAAUGUUGAGGAUAAACGUGUUGCUAAAAUUCAUCCCAAAAAAAAAAGGUGUUGCUGAAACUGAGGCUAAAGGGAGGAUAUAUGAGAUCUAUCUUGGAAAUGAAAGGAAGGAUGGAAAAUGAUGAUUUUUUUUUUUGAGGGGGGGGGGUGGGGUGAAUAAAAUUGAAAAUUGGAAAAUACACGUUAAUUGGGCAUGUGGGGAGAAGAAGACUCAAAAGCAUGGCAUGCUUUUCAUCUGGCUAGAAGUAAAGUGAAGGGAAUGGAAAUAAAUUGGAAACUUAUCUAAUCAUUACCAACAAUGAUUAAGUAGCUAUCCCAAACAUACUAGCUAUAAUAAUUAAAUUUUGCUUCACUUACCUACCAAAUUGCUUGGAUUUGAAUAGUCAAAUAUGAUAGGUCUAAGGAACUAUUUGAAAAGUUUGUUUUAUUUCAAAGAUUUGAAGUUAGUUACACAAUCAUGAUUACAAAAAAUUUUAUUUUCUCUUUGACAUUAAUUUCACUUUCCUUUAUUUCUCUUUAGUUGUAACCAUAUGAAGCCUAAGAUAUUUAUUUGCUUGAAAAUGAACUGCACCAGAUAUAGGGGUAUGGUUCUGUAUUGAUUGUUUCCUUUGAGCUUGUUGAAACAAGAGUACCGUAGGCUGAUGGGCUCAAAUAACCAAAUAAGUUUCAAAAUAUGUGGGUUCCUUUGGGCAUCAAGCCCUUGGUCUCAAAUGUUAUAAACUCUUUCUUUGUUUCCUUUUUAGUUAUUUAUUUAUUUACUUCGCUUUUGGGUGUGCCUCUGUGGAGCUUUGUGAGCGGGUAACUGGAUUAUGAUCCUCCUAGCUGUGAAAGAGUAUUUCGAGUCAAGGGCUUCUUCAUACUACUCAUUAAUGUGAGGUAGAAUCCUUAGAAGCCCCAAUUGAUUCCUUGUGCAUUUGGGAGUGCAUGAUGGAGAUGGCGUGUUGCCCCAUGCAACCAAGCACUUGGGUGGAGUAAAUCUGAUGGUAGAGUAUCCAACCUAGAGAAAAGGCCUGAUCAACACUGAAGAACAGGGGAUGCGCUUUACUCAAAUGGUUACUUUAGAGAAGAAUUAAGGGCCCAAAGAAUAAGGAGGGUAAGAAGUUGGAGAAAAGGGUGGAUUACAGGAGGUCCAAGAGAAGAGUGAUCCAUGUUCCUAGUAUAUCCUAUGGUCUUGCACUCCUUAGAACCAAGGAGAUCGAAUCACCUUUUUAAUCAUCUUUUCCUCCAUCACCAGCAAUGUUGACACUUCAUCAAAGAUCCCUUAGUUUCUUUCCAUGCACACACAGGCUAGCUGAUCUCAAAGGAGUGCAAUCACAAAUCAUUUUUGUUGAGAUGACAUCAUGAAAUCAUUCAUCUAUCCAUUUCCUUCCUAGAGGCAGGAAACA